rnacentral:rRNA from 1 species
AGAAUCAACGCUGGCGGCGUGCCUAACACAUGCAAGUCGAACGAGAAAGUGGAGCAAUCUAUGAGUAAAGUGGCGCACGGGUGAGUAACACGUGACUAACCUACCCUUGAGUGGGGGAUAACCUAGAGAAAUCUGGGCUAAUACCGCAUAAUACCUUCGGGUCAAAGGAGCAAUUCGCUUAAGGAGGGGGUCGCGGCCGAUUAGUUAGUUGGCGGGGUAAUGGCCCACCAAGACAGUGAUCUGUA